rnacentral:lncRNA from 1 species
GGAGGGGGCGAUGGCACCGGGUCGUCCCCAGCAAGGGAACGAUCCCGGGCGAUGUGCGCACGCUCCCCGGGUUUGUUAGUUGAUUCCGUCGAAAAGUUUGCUAUUUAUAGGUCACACGCGGCCGCCGGGCGAAGGGAGAGCGGCCUGUCUCAGUGGCGUCCCGUGAUCGUUUUGUUUUGUUUCUGCCCUCGCGCGCGAGAAGACAGGGGGAGCCCCGAAACCAGCCCUCGCCGGAGCGGGAAGAGCGCCGCGCGCCGAGACCCCAGCGGACAACUGACCGGUUCAUCAGUGAACAAUAGUCAGCUAUGAAGAUGUAAGGGAAAAGUCCUCGGCUAACAUUGUCGCAGCUUGAAAGGUAAGCCCUUCUCCACGUGGUUGGGAAACCCAUCUAGCAUGAUGUCGUGUGAUGCCCACUGGACU